UGUUAGUUGCCAUCAUUCAGUUGGGCACUCUAGCGAGACUGACCGGUAAUAAACCGGAGGAAGGUGGGGAUGACGUCAAAUCAUCACUGCCCUUAUGACCUGGGCUACACACGUGCUACAAUGGUUGGUACAACGAGUUGCGAGUCGGUGACGGCGAGCUAAUCUCUUAAAGCCAAUCUCAGUUCGGAUUGUAGGCUGCAACUCGCCUACAUGAAGUCGGAAUCGCUAGUAAUCGCGGAUCAGCACGCCGCGGUGAAUACGUUCCCGGGCCUU
rnacentral:rRNA from 1 species